CAGGUAUGGUAGUCUGACUUUCUGUUGUACCAGGUUUAUUUGUUUGUCCAGUUGUGGUAGUCUGACCUUGUGUUGUGCCUGGUUUAUUUGUUUGUCCAGGUGUUGAACUUGGACCAAUUGAUGUAGUAUGCUGAGUUGUUUCUCCAGGUAUGGUAGUCUGACCUUCUGUUGUACCGGGUUUAUUUGUUUGUCCAGUUGUGGUAGUCUGACCUUGUGUUGUGCCUGGUUUAGUUGUUUCUCCAGGUGUUGAACUUGGACCGACUGAUGUAGUAUGCUGAGUUGUUUGUCCAGGUAUGGUAGUCUGACCUUCUGUUGUACCGGGUUUGCUUGUUUGUCCAGUUGUGGUAGUCUGACCUUGUGUUGUGCCUGGUUUAGUUGUUUGUCCAGGUGUUGAACUUGGACCGACUGAUGUAGUAUACUGAGUUGUUUGUCCAGGUAUUGUAGUCUGACCUUCUGUUGUACCGGGUUUGCUUGUUUGUCCAGUUGUGGUAGUCUGACCUUGUGUUGUGCCUGGUUUAGUUGUUUGUCCAGGUGUUGAACUUGGACCGACUGCUGUAGUAUACAGAGUUGUUUGUCCAGGUAUGGUUGUCUGACCUUCUGUUGUAUCAGGUUUGCUUGUUUGUCCAGUUGUGGUAGUCUGACCUUGUGUUGUGCCUGGAUUAGUUGUUUGUCCAGGUGUUGAACUUGAACCAACUGAUGUAGUAUAC